rnacentral:rRNA from 1 species
CAGGGUAGAAAGACGGACUUAGUGAUCCGGUGGGUCCGCAUGGAAGGGCCAUCGCUCAACGGAUAAAAGCUACCCCGGGGAUAACAGGCUUAUCUCCCCCAAGAGUUCCCGUCGACGGGGAGGUUUGGCACCUCGAUGUCGGCUCAUCGCAUCCUGGGGCUGUAGUCGGUCCCAAGGGUUGGGCUGUUCGCCCAUUAAAGCGGUACGCGAGCUGGGUUCAGAACGUCGUGAGACAGUUCGGUCCCUAUCCGUCGUGGGCGUAGGAAAUUUGAGAGGAGCUGUCCUUAGUACGAGAGGACCGGGAUGGACAUACCUCUGGUGUACCAGUUGUCGUGCCAACGGCAUAGCUGGGUAGCUAUGUAUGGACGGGAUAAGUGCUGAAAGCAUCUAAGCAUGAAGCCCCCCUCAAGAUGAGAUUUCCCAACUUCGGUUAUAAGAUCCCUCGAAGAUGACGAGGUUAAUAGGUUCGAGGUGGAAGCGUGGUGACACGUGGAGCUGACGAAUACUAAUCGAUCGAAGACUUAAUCAAUUUUUAAA